AAGAGAGGGUGUAGAGCUAGAAAGAGAGAAGGGGUGGACUGAAGGAGAGGGUGUAGAGCUAGAAAGAGAGAGGGGGUGGACUGAAGAGGAGGGUGUAGAGCUAGAAAGAGAGAGGGGGUGGACUGAAGGAGAGGGGUAGAGAUAGAAAGAGAGAGGGGGUGGACUGAAGGAGAGGGUGUAGAGCUAGAAAAGAGAGGGGUGGACUGAAGAGAGGGUGUAGAGCUAGAAAGAGAGAGGGUGUAGAGCUAGAAAGAGAGAGGGGGUGGACUGAAGGAGAGGGUGUAGAGCUAGAAAAGAGAGGGGGCGUACUGAAGGAGAGGGGGUAGAGAUAGAAAGAGAGGGGAUGAGAGGGGGUAGAGAUAGAAAGAGAGGGUGUGAGAGAGGGGUAGAGAUAGAAAGAGAGGGGAUGAGAGAGGGGUAGAGAUAGAACGAGAGAGGAUGAGAGGGGGUAGAGAUAGAAAGAGAGGGGAUGAGAGAGGGGUAGAGAUAGAAAGAGAGAGGAUGAGAGGGGGUAGAGAUAGAAAGAGAGAGGAUGAGAGGGGUGCAGAGAUAGAAAGAGAGGAUGAGAGGGGGGUAGAGAUAGAAAGAGAGAGGAUGAGAGGGGUGCAGAGAUAGAAAGAGAGGAUGAGAGGGGGUAGAGAUAGAAAGAGAGAGGAUGAGAGGGGUGCAGAGAUAGAAAGAGAGGAUGAGAGGGGGGUAGAGAUAGAAAGAGAGGGGAUGAGAGGGGUGUAGAGAUACAAAGAGAGGGGAUGAGAGGGGGUAGAUAUGGAAGGAGAGGAUGAGAGGGGGUAUAGAUAGAAAGAGAGAGGAUGAGAGG
ensembl:lncRNA